UUACUGAACACCACCGUGUGCCAAGUGCCCAGCACUGGGAGUAAUUUUUGUUUGGUCAUCGGCCACCAAAGAGUUGUAAGAGCCCAUACUUGGCUUCUGGGGGAAAUGACAUUUGCUCUGACAGACUUCCUGCUUGGCUUCCUUGGUGGCUCAGACAGUAAGGAGUCUGCCUGCAAUGCAGGAGACCUGGGUUUGAUCUCUGGGUCAGGAAGAUCGCCUGGAGAAGGGAAUGACAACCCACUCUGGUAUUCUUGCCUCGAGAAUUCCAUGAACAGAGGAGCCUGGUGGGCUACAGUCCACUGGGUCACAAAGAGUUGAACACGACUGAGUGACUAACACUUGCUGAAUGUAGGAGGCUCAGUGAGAGGUAACUUGGAGAAGAUAGGAGGGAAGAGAGUUCUAGGCAGAGGGAGUAAUGGGGUGAGUGGGACCCAGUUAGUAAUGAACUAUGUGAAGGUAUUUAUCCUAAGAGCAGUAGGAAGGGUUCUAUGCCAGGCUGGGGUCUUGGUCACUUGUGCAUCCCCAAAAGCAAAAAACGGACAGAGAAGGACCAGAGGAAGCUGGGAGACUAGUGAGGAAGGGCAAGGGAAAGGCAUGGCUGGUUGGGGUAGGGGCUGUGGCCAUGGAGAGAUCCUGGAGGUGAGGCUCGUCAAUGUGGUGAAGGCUGGGUCCUGGGCAGUGGGGGGAGAGGGAACAAGGACUCCUGGGUUCCCGCCUCUUCCGCUGGGAUGCAUGUAUGUGUGGGGAGCAGGGUGGUGGCCACGGAAAGAUGAGCUUGUUUCCUUGGAUGUGUAAGCUCCCUGAAGCAGGGAUGGGCCCUCACACUCCAUGUCUCUCCCAUGGGCCUUUAUGCCCAAGAGGAUUUCAGAAGACUUGUUCCUGGUUAAGGUGAGAAAAUUACCCCUGUUCCCCCAUCGGUCAGCAGACUUGACCAUGGACACACCCCCUUGGACUCCAAGGCUCUCUGCGUUGGGGGGUCGACCCUGUGCUCAUCUCUUGGAGGAGGCCCAGCCCCUCCUGGGGGCUCCCCGCUGGGACUGGUGUGCCGAACCUCCCUGUUCUUAACAGGACUGACUGGGGUGGGUCUCCCACCGCCUCACUGAGGCAGGCCCGGGUUUGGCCGCCCUCCCGGCUGUGUUGUAUCCAGUGGGAAACAUUUAGAAUAUGUGAACGUAAGUGGCUGCUGGAGAGAAAUCUACAAUUUCUCCUAUUAUUGGGAAAGAGCUAGGCUACCAUAGGCUACCAGAUGUUCUAUGUCAUAUAAUGGUAUGUUUUAUGGCAAAUGAAAAUAUAUAUAAAAUCUGUACCCAGAGAGCUCCCUACUUGCUAAAAGGGGGCUAGAUCCUUCUUUUUAUUCUUACCCUUUUCAGAUUUUUAGGCAAGAAUUCCCUUUCGGGCAAUGAACUUAUCUGCCAAGUUGGGGCCCAGGGGGAACCCUUAUGGGGGACUCGUAAACCCCGUCUUUUGAGGAAAUCUUGGGGCUGAGGCCACAUUCAGCCCCACGUGUUUACACAAUACUCUCUCUCAGCUCUGAGGGGCCAUUAGAGUUAAUUGGGUGAAUAAUCUGUGUUUAAAAAGUCCCCAAAUACGUAUUUACAUAAUCCACGCUUUGCCCAAGCCUGCUCAAGCCUAUUUGUGGGAUCUGGAGUGGAUCUGGGCUGAGCGUCUUCCUCCCGUGCUUCUAGAGCAGCUUCUCCUGUUGGUGACCAUCCUUCGGUGAGGACGGGGACAGGCAGGCUUCCCUCCUGGCUGAUGGCGUGGUGGGGCCUAUUAGUGUGGGGUCUUCCUGAGCCUUGGCCAAACACGUGUUUUGGAUCACUGUCCUGAGAGAUGCUGUAUGGGGAAAGAGGUUCCAUGGUUCAGUAAGUUUGGGAAGCACUGCAUCUUAUCUCCUCUCUUGGAGAUUCCCUGUGCUCAUUAUUCCACCAGGACUCCAAGAAGUCCUACAGUAGAGAGGUGGAUUUAGCUGUGUCUAAAUCCAGCUUCCUUCAGAUGUUAUCUGAUCUCAGCAUCUCCAUCCCUAACUCUGAUGAAUAGCCCAAAGAACUAGCCUUCUGUAGAAACACAUUGGGAAACAGCAAUCCACCCCCACUCCGUCCUUUUUUUUUUUUUUUUUUUAAAAACCAGGGGGCACUUCGAGUUCUGGCCACCCACCCAGACAUUGUGUGUACUGCCUUUGGUCGAGGCCCUUGUGUGCAGUCAUGUUGGCUGUGCACACACAACCCCCAAGAAUGCUUUUCACAUGACCACAGCCUUGCUGGUUCUUGGAACAGGAAAGACUCCAGGCAUUAGAGGCAGACCCAGGGUGUUGCAUGGAGACACGGCAUUCUCAGUUAGGGAGCCCUUACAGCCUGCCCACUCCUGUAGUUCUGUGCCCCGUUAGUUGCUGGCAUCCUUUCUAUAACAUUGUCUGUAUGGGUCACUCCAGCCACAGGAAUUCUCUGGGCUGGUUUGGGCACCAGGAAGGAUGAAUUCAGAUGCACUCAGGCCAAGCCUGCUUCCAAUAAAAGCUGAGCACUCACCCUCGGGAGUAGCCCUGCUUAUCUGUCUUCAUGAGGUUCUCAGUCUUGGCUGCACAUGAGAAUCACCUGGAGAGAUUAAAAAAAAAAAAAAAUCCUGAUGUUGGGUCAGAACUCUGAUUUGUUAAAUCAGAAUCUGGGUGGGUAAGAAACCUGGCUCAAAUAAAUGGUCAAGCUUCCAGGUGAUUCCAAUGUGGCUCCAUGAGGAGGUGGAGCGCAGCCACACUGGAGCUUUGUCAGGAGAGCUGGCGGGGUAGGAAGGGGAGCAGAAGUUCACGGCGCUACUCCGGGCUCAACCACGACUGCAUGAAGGACCAGACCGCCCACCUUCUCCAGUCCUGCCUGGGCAGCCCUCUGCAGUGUGGCAAGUCCCUGGGUGAGGAAGAAGAAGCGUCCUGCCGUGUUUACCCUAGGGACGCCUUUGUUGGGUGGUCCUGAGAAGGAUGACGGCCAACAUUACCAAGCAGGGUGUCUGCUGUGGGCCAGGUACUGUAAGUUAAGGCAGACAUCACUAAUGAACACUGAGUAUGCAGUCCUCCUCGGUAGAGAGCCACAGCCAGCCAGCCAGGACUCCUCUCUCCAGGCUUGCCUCGGCAGUGAAGCUGUUUGUCAGUUGUGGAGAGCACACCCUCAUGAAUCAACUGAUGUGCCUAUAGGAGGAUCAAGGCCCGGGGAGGCUGACUCGCCCAAGACUUGGGGAUCACAGCCUGGCUCAUAAGAAUCUCUCACUAAACACUGGUGGAAUGAAUGAAGGAAGCUCAUUUCCUCUGAGCAGAAAGCGAAGAUUUUGAAACCAAGAUAGGGAGCCAGCCCCUUUGGGUUCUGAAAGAAGUGACAAUUGCCCUAGGAGGAGGAAGGCAUCAUCAUUCCUGUGGGUUCUAGAAGGAAAACCAUGAGGCUCAGAUUGGAGGUUGCCGGCUCUAAGUCUGUGAGAACAGGAGCCAUGCCCGCCCUGGUACCCAAGGCCUUGCACCCUGGUACGGAGGCUCAGUAGCUGGGAACAGAGCUGGACAGAAUGAACGAGGAGUUGGGGUUGGAAGAGCCCUCAGUUGCACAUCUGGGAGAUAGUGUGUGUCUCUGCCCCAACCUUUCAGGACAGUGAAUCAGUACAGGCUGAGCGGGACCCCGUGAAUACUGCCGGUCACAGACUGGACGCAGAUGGGGAUGAACCAUCCAAGGGCUGAGGAAAGAAGCUGACAGGGCGGGAUGUGUCUCUUUGGAGCCAGCUUUGCUCUCCCUGCUUAAAGUCCCGCCAGGACAUUCCUGAGCUUGAGACAAAAUAAAGCAUCACCUUUCUCCACUAAGGACGUGCCCGUGGGAAGACCACAUCCCUUCCUCACGCCUUCUUUCAGAAAUCAUGUGAAAUAGACCGACGACUGCUUCUGCCUCCAGUGAACAUGAUUUGCAAACUACCCUUUCUCCUCCUUCCCCCAUGGAAAUAAUGGACAGCCUGUCCUCUUCCUUCUUCAAAUACUCUCAAGAAUAUUGGUAUGAAUCCCUGUUUUCUUUUGGCCUCUUAGAACAGAACCUUAUUUAUCAGUUUGUGAACUCCAGACCCCAGCUCUUUCCUCCCAACUCCUGGCAAUGUUAUCAUUCUACCAGCCAGCAAGGGGGAAAGCCAGAGGCUUCUGCAGCAAAGACCAAGUAUACAAAGCAAUAUGAAGGGGUCACUUACUCAUUGAAGCCUCUGACAGAGGAUUGUGAGCCACACAGGGCUGGUUGCUACCCUCAAGCAGCUUAGAUACCAGCUGGGAAGAUCGCAGCCUCCACCUGUGUGCUUCUGAGGGAGGCAGGUUGACCUGAGGUUGGCGUGGUGAUAGGAGCCAACCUGGUCCUGGCGUGAAUACCGCUCUGUGACCCCAGAGGUGAGCCCUGCUCCCUGGUAGGCCUCCCAGACUUUCAAGAGCCUGCCUUUGGCUCAGCUUUUGGGACAGAGAGCAGUCUUGCCUUGAAUCAUUCCUCACAGACCCGGUCCUCUGCAGGGAAACUGAAACCUGUCCUUUGAAGAGGCAGCGUUCAAACUGAUGUGCAAACUCUCGAUGGCCACUGCAUCCUUCUGAAGAGAAGGGGGUGCAGCAGGCCAAGCUCAGGAGGCAUGUAGAAGCAUCCACAGCGUGCCAGGCCUUUUCCUAGACCCCAGCCUCUAAGGGCAGGCUCACUCACAGCCCGGGACCUUUCGUUUGCGUCGGCACUGCUCUUGCACUCCCUAGUCCUCCAUUUAUCCAAGGCCUUCCAUCCUGAAACCCUGGGAAACCUCCACCACGAAGCCCUCCCUGAACACCCCAGAUCCUGUCUGCCCCCGAAUCUCUGUGGAUUUUAAAAUUGUUCUCUAAGGACUGUGUGCAUUUUGUCCCCCUGAGCUCUGUGAGCUCCCUGAGUUCAGGGGCAGUGCUACUUCUCUGACCAUGCCUUAGUUAAUUAGUACAAGCCUUAGUAUUUAUCGGGCUUCCCAGGUGGCUCAGUGGUAAAGCAUCUGCCUGCCAGUGUAGGAGACUGUGGUUCGAUUCUUGGAUUGGGAAGAUCCCCUGGAGGAGGAAAUGGCAACCCACUUCAGCAUUCUUGCCUGGGUAAUACCAUGGACAAAGGAGCUUGGCAGGCUACAGCCCAUGGGGUCCCUAAGAGUCAGACACGACUAGGCAUGCACACACAUUAGUAUUUAUUAAGCAUGUCUUGAGGUUCAGCUAUCAUUUUGCCUUUUUUGACUUUGUUUUUGGAAUGAUUAAAAACUUUUCUACUUAAAAGUUAUAAGUUAUAACUUCUACUUAAAAGUUAUACAUG
ensembl:lncRNA